rnacentral:rRNA from 1 species
UGGUCAAGCGAAUAAGCGCACAUGGUGGAUGCCUUGGCGGUCAGAGGCGAUGAAGGACGUGGUAGCCUGCGAAAAGUGUCGGGAGC